ACUUCUAAUUAACAUACGUUAGUUAGUGACAUUGAAACAGCCCCUCAGAAGUUAACCCUAAGACUGUGUUCUAUUUAUAAGUAUUUAUUUCUAACCCUCACCCGCAGCGAGACGGGGCUGAGCUCUAGGCCACCGCCGGAAGAAAUCUGUGACCUCUCCUGUCGGCCCCAAGAGAGGAGUUUCUGUGGGGCCCGUCGAGACAUGUGACCCUUGGGGUCAGGUGAGCACGGCCAGCGCUGGGGUCAUGUCAGCAGGGGGCUUCCUCAUGUGUCUGAGAGUGCCACGUGCGUCCCAUCCUGACCUCUUGUGACAUAUCCAUUUCGUCCCCUGUGCGACCCGUGUCUGGGGCAGGAGUCAGCCCCGGGCUGAGAGUCUGUUGUGUGCGGUGCCCAGGCCAUAAACCCUUCAGAAAAACCACAGGCCUGGGGUCUUCAGGGCCCUGUACCUACCCCCAUGGCACAGCUGGCCUCCUGCAGCUCAAGGAAAAUAGUGCCCCAGCCCAAGACCCGUCCCCGCCAUGGCCCCUAAGGGCAGCAAGGGUUCCUGUUCUGGGUUGAAAUCAAACACUGUGCAGAGAGCUGGAGGCCUGUGCUCCCUCUGGGUGUCCCCUGGGGUGCAGGCCGAGACGCAGAGAGUAGGGGUGACAGCACCCUGGGAACCAGCACGCCCUCUGGCUUUUACGAUGGCCUGGAGGGCAGGGAGGGAAAGCAGGUGGGGGAGUUUCUCUGAGACCAGCAGGUCCGAAACGCAGGGAGGUCAGAGCUGCCAGGCCUAGGCCACGGCCCACUCAGGUCAGCCAGCCUGAGGCUGUGGGCCCUCUCCCCCAGGGCACAGGUGUCUGGGGCCAGCCAGCCUGCAGAGCACCUGCUGAGGGGGGCGGGGCUGAGGGAAGGGGGCCUCGGGAGGCUUUCUGGAAGCCGCCCCAAAUUCAGGAGCCUCCGUGACCAUGGAGGCCUCCAGGGCUGCUUCUCGGCCUCAUGCUGCCUGGGCAGCGAGCGGGAGCCAGGUGUGGGCCACCUGAUGUCCCCUACCCGUCAUCACUUCCUCCCUCAGGCCUGCUUCAGCGCCAGCUCCUGGCUCUGAGUCCAGAAACACGGAGUUGCUGGGAAGAGACUCCCGUCGAGGGGUCGGGAAGGCUGCUUCUGCCCGGUGCCGUCUCAGCCAGGGGGAGGUGGUGUGGGACUCGGCUUCCGCAUCUCGGAUGUGGGAGGCUGCUCUGGAGUCCCCGAGGGGCCUCGGGUCGUAGGGAGCCGUCAGGAGAGCCAGGGGCUGUGUCCCGCAAGUAGGGAGGGAAAGGAGGAUCCAGAGGCAUGUCUUGGACCAUUUUUGUUUCAGCGCUUGAUGCCGCACAGGCCGCAGCCUCGUUUUGUUUGAGGGAGGGUCGUGCUCCCGGGGAGGGCGCUCUGUCCUCCGGGGAGAGGUGAGCCCGCCCGCAGGGGCCCCAGGGAGGGAGACGCUGGCUCCCCGCUGUCGGGCCCCACCCUGGUGUCACCCCGCUGGUGUCCAGGGUGGGUGUGGAGAUGCCUGUAAGUCUCAAGGCCUCCUCGCUCUGAGUCCAUAAUGUAAGGCGCCAGCGUUCCGGUCACUGAACACACACGCGCACACACGCCCAGGACGGCUGCGGGGAGGUCUCCCGCCAGUCCCGCCCCACCCUCACCCCCCCGCCGCCAGCACCUCUGGGGCUGACCUGACCGGGAGCUUGAGGAGGGUCCCUUAUGGUGGCUGAUGUCACAGACACGCGUGGGCUGCUGCCCUGGUCCUCGGCGGCUCUCUCCAGCCCAGGGACCCCAGAGGCCCCUCCUUUAUCCCUGGGGCUGGCCAAGCACUCCCCGGGAGAGACAGGAGGCUGGGGCCUCUUCCCAGGCCCGUGCUCCCUGCAGCCAGCCGUCCCCUGAGUUUCCCCGUGGCUUGUACAUAUGUGGUUGUGUGGCACACCCAGCCCCUGCACCGUAACUGCCAUCCCGCUGUGACUAGUUCCCUGAUGUCCUAAACCCAAGCGUUAGGCUCUAGGCUCCUGUACCGCGUGUGUGCACUUGAGGCUCUGUCCGGUUAAGAAAUAAACAUGGCUCUUUAUGCAACACCAG
ensembl:lncRNA